rnacentral:rRNA from 1 species
GAUGAACGCUGGCGGCGUGCCUAAUACAUGCAAGUCGAGCGAGCAGACGAGGAGCUUGCUCCUCUGACGUUAGCGGCGGACGAGUGAGUAACACGUGGAUAACCUACCUAUAAGACUGGGAUAACUUCGGGAAACCGGAGCUAAUACCGGAUAAUAUAUUGAACCGCAUGGUUCAAUAGUGAAAGACGGUUUUGCUGUCACUUAUAGAUGGAUCCGCGCCGCAUUAGCUAGUUGGUAAGGUAACGGCUUACCAAGGCAACGAUGCGUAGCCGACCUGAGAGGGUGAUCGGCCACACUGGAACUGAGACACGGUCCAGACUCCUACGGGAGGCAGCAGUAGGGAAUCUUCCGCAAUGGGCGAAAGCCUGACGGAGCAACGCCGCGUGAGUGAUGAAGGUCUUCGGAUCGUAAAACUCUGUUAUUAGGGAAGAACAAAUGUGUAAGUAACUAUGCACGUCUUGACGGUACCUAAUCAGAAAGCCACGGCUAACUACGUG